rnacentral:rRNA from 1 species
UGGGGAAUAUUGGACAAUGGGGGCAACCCUGAUCCAGCCAUGCCGCGUGUGUGAAGAAGGCCUUUUGGUUGUAAAGCACUUUAAGCAGUGAAGAAGACUCUAUGGUUAAUACCCAUAGACGAUGACAUUAGCUGCAGAAUAAGCACCGGCUAACUCUGUGCCAGCAGCCGCGGUAAUACAGAGGGUGCAAGCGUUAAUCGGAAUUACUGGGCGUAAAGCGAGCGUAGGUGGCUUAAUAAGUCAGAUGUGAAAUCCCCGGGCUUAACCUGGGAACUGCAUCUGAUACUGUUGGGCUAGAGUAGGUGAGAGGGAGGUAGAAUUUCAGGUGUAGCGGUGAAAUGCGUAGAGAUCUGAAGGAAUACCGAUGGCGAAGGCAGCCUCCUGGCAUCAUACUGACACUGAGGUUCGAAAGCGUGGGUAGCAAACAG